rnacentral:rRNA from 1 species
UACGAAGGGUGCUAGCGUUGUUCGGAAUCACUGGGCGUAAAGCGCGCGUAGGCGGCUUCUCAAGUCAGGGGUGAAAUCCUUGGGCUCAACCCAAGAAUUGCCUCUGAAACUGUGGAGCUGGAGUACUGGAGGGGAUAGCGGAAUUCCUAAUGUAGAGGUGAAAUUCGUAGAUAUUAGGAGGAACACCGGUGGCGAAGGCGGCUAUCUGGACAGUAACUGACGCUGAGGCGCGAAAGUGUGGGGAUCAAACAGG